UGAGGAAUAUUGGGCAAUGCCCGCAAGGGUGACCCAGCAACGCCGCGUGGAGGAUGAAUGUCGUAAGAUUGUAGACUCCUGUUAGAGGGGAAGAAUAGUACCGGUUGGACCGGUAUAUGACUGUACCCUCAAAGAAAGCCCCGGCUAACUACGUGCCAGCAGCCGCGGUAAUACGUAGGGGGCAAGCGUUGUCCAGAUUUACUGGGUGUAAAGGGCGCGCAGGCGGGAUAAAAAGUCAGUGGUGAAAUCCUACAGCUUAACUGUAGAACUGCCUUUGAUACUUUUAUUCUUGAGUUCGGGAGAGAGAGACGGAAUUCCAGGUGUAGUGGUGAAAUACGUAGAUAUCUGGAAGAACACCAGUUGCGAAGGCGGUCUCUUGGUCCGACACUGACGCUGAGGCGUGAAAGCGUGGGGAGCAAACA
rnacentral:rRNA from 1 species